rnacentral:rRNA from 1 species
UCGAACGAUGAACCACCUUCGGGUGGGGAUUAGUGGCGAACGGGUGAGUAACACGUGGGCAAUCUGCCCUGCACUCUGGGACAAGCCCUGGAAACGGGGUCUAAUACCGGAUACUGACCUGCCAAGGCAUCUUGGCGGGUCGAAAGCUCCGGCGGUGCAGGAUGAGCCCGCGGCCUAUCAGCUUGUUGGUGAGGUAAUGGCUCACCAAGGCGACGACGGGUAGCCGGCCUGAGAGGGCGACCGGCCACACUGGGACUGAGACACGGCCCAGACUCCUACGGGAGGCAGCAGUGGGGAAUAUUGCACAAUGGGCGAAAGCCUGAUGCAGCGACGCCGCGUGAGGGAUGACGGCCUUCGGGUUGUAAACCUCUUUCAGCAGGGAAGAAGCGAAAGUGACGGUACCUGCAGAAGAAGCGCCGGCUAACUACGUGCCAGCAGCCGCGGUAAUACGUAGGGCGCAAGCGUUGUCCGGAAUUAUUGGGCGUAAAGAGCUCGUAGGCGGCUUGUCGCGUCGGUUGUGAAAGCCCGGGGCUUAACCCCGGGUCUGCAGUCGAUACGGGCAGGCUAGAGUUCGGUAGGGGAGAUCGGAAUUCCUGGUGUAGCGGUGAAAUGCGCAGAUAUCAGGAGGAACACCGGUGGCGAAGGCGGAUCUCUGGGCCGAUACUGACGCUGAGGAGCGAAAGCGUGGGGAGCGAACAGGAUUAGAUACCCUGGUAGUCCACGCC